rnacentral:rRNA from 1 species
UGCGUAGGGGGCAAGCGUUGUCCGGAAUCAUUGGGCGUAAAGAGCGUGUAGGCGGCCCGGUAAGUCCGCUGUGAAAGUCGGGGGCUCAACCCUCGAAUGCCGGUGGAUACUGUCGGGCUAGAGUGCGGAAGAGGCGAGUGGAAUUCCUGGUGUAGCGGUGAAAUGCGCAGAUAUCAGGAGGAACACCAAUUGCGAAGGCAGCUCGCUGGGACGUAACUGACGCUGAGACGCGAAAGCGUGGGGAGCAAACAGG